GAUGAACGCUGGCGGCGUGCCUAAUACAUGCAAGUCGAGCGAACGGACGAGAAGCUUGCUUCUCUGAUGUUAGCGGCGGACGGGUGAGUAACACGUGGAUAACCUACCUAUAAGACUGGGAUAACUUCGGGAAACCGGAGCUAAUACCGGAUAAUAUUUUGAACCGCAUGGUUCAAAAGUGAAAGACGGUCUUGCUGUCACUUAUAGAUGGAUCCGCGCUGCAUUAGCUAGUUGGUAAGGUAACGGCUUACCAAGGCAACGAUGCAUAGCCGACCUGAGAGGGUGAUCGGCCACACUGGAACUGAGACACGGUCCAGACUCCUACGGGAGGCAGCAGUAGGGAAUCUGCCGCAAUGGGCGAAAGCCUGACGGAGCAACGCCGCGUGAGUGAUGAAGGUCUUCGGAUCGUAAAACUCUGUUAUUAGGGAAGAACAUAUGUGUAAGUAACUGUGCACAUCUUGAGGGUACCUAUCAGAAAGCCACGGCUAACUACGUG
rnacentral:rRNA from 1 species